GACGUAGGGCGCGAGCGUUGUCCGGAUUUAUUGGGCGUAAAGAGCUCGUAGGCGGCUUGUCGCGUCGACCGUGAAAACUCACAGCUCAACUGUGAGCUUGCGGUCGAUACGGGCAGGCUCGAGUUCGGUAGGGGAGACUGGAAUUCCUGGUGUAGCGGUGAAAUGCGCAGAUAUCAGGAGGAACACCGGUGGCUAAGGCGGGUCUCUGGGCCGAUACUGACGCUGAGGAGCGAAAGCGUGGGGAGCGAACAGG
rnacentral:rRNA from 1 species